rfam:Oryza sativa Indica Group scaffold003048 genomic scaffold, whole genome shotgun sequence.
ACUACGUCCCAAAAUAAACACGGUAGGUGUCUUACUAUAACCAUCCGUUAUAUUUGAAAUUUUUUUAUAAUUAGUAUUUUUAUUGUUAUUAGUAGAAUAUAAAAUAUAAACGGUACUUUACAUUUACAUGUGACUUAUAUUUUUUAGUCUUUUUAAAAUAAAAUUAAAUAAGAUGAACGUUUAAAGUUAGACACGAAAUCUAUCGCUGUGCUUAUU